rnacentral:rRNA from 1 species
AUUGAACGCUGGCGGCAGGCCUAACACAUGCAAGUCGAGCGAGCGGCGGACGGGUGAGUAAUGCUUAGGAAUCUGCCUAUUAGAGGGGGACAACAACUAGAAAGGGCUGCUAAUACCGCAUACUAAUCGAUGAGCCUAAGUCGGAUUAGCUAGUUGGUGGGGUAACGGCCUACGAAGGCGACGAUCUGUAGCGGGUCUGAGAGGAUGAUCCGCCACACGGGGACUGAGACACGGCCCAGACUCCUACGGGAGGCAGCAGUGGGGAAUAUUGGACAAUGGGGGUACGCCUGAUCCAGCCAUGCCGCGUGUGUGAAGAAGGCUUCGGGUUGUAAAGCACUUUCAGCGGGGAGGCGUUACCCGCAGAAGAAGCACCGGCUAACUCCGUGCCAGCAGCCGCGGUAAUUC